rnacentral:sRNA from 1 species
CUGACUAAGACAUUAUUAUAUGAAGAUGGAAAAGUACUCCUAGGCUAUUCGACACCUUCUAAUGCUAUGGAUUGUAUCAGAUUUCAGAAGAUCAUGGUGGUAAAAGAGGAAGCGGGCUUAAAGAAAAGAGUGAGAAGAUAGCAUCCAUGUUGACUCCACAGCGUAAUCAAGACAGAGGGAGGAAGAUGGAGAACAAAAAAGGAUGUACAUCGAGUCAGCUUUGAAGUCACUUACCCUUCAAGAGUUGGAACUUCCGGAGCAGAAUGGGAGAGCACCCAAUUGGAAAGCUGGUUCACUGAGGAUAUACUAAGGAGAGAAGACAAGUAAGUAUCCCCUUAAGGAGAUAAAGUUUUUACCCUUCCCAGAAACCUCCCCUGGGUGCAACCUCUGAUAGAAAAGCCCUGACACACUGCUAAGCCUGCUUGCUUUUCUGAGUUCUUUGUAACUCAAACAAUAUGCAUUUCUUUUUCCUUAUUCUCCCUCUCCCCCUCUUCCUAACCUCCUAUACUGGCUUUAAGCUUUUGCUUGUACUGAUACUCUGG